rnacentral:snoRNA from 1 species
CUUCCUUGGAGAGGUGAUGACGAUUUGCCUGGGAGUGUCAUCUCUGUCCCUGUGGCUGGAGCCUGUGCUAUAUCUGCAACAUCAUUUCAAGCAUCAAGGAAACUUCCUAAAGAUGACCUGGAGGCAUUAGUCUAAGGAGG